UCCAGCUGUGAGUGACUUCCGCUAAGGCAGCGAGUGUUUUCGGGGUCCGAGGUUUAGAGAGCACAAGCGAGUAGAGCAGAGUUUGCUAAGUUGAGGAUAACAGAGACAUGGACGUGGUGCUCUAUCUCAAUGAGACAGGGCUGUUAUAGAGUCCCAAAGUAAUGAUAAUUUGUUGAACGUUUAUUAUGAGCUACGUUCCGUGUUAGAUGUCUGUAGGCAUAAUCAUUUUUAGGAUUCUCUAAAGCGGACAUAAGAGGGAGAGGAUAGACAUUAUCAGCCGCUCAAAAGAGGGCUCUGAAUCGGAGAGAGCAUGCAAAUGACCCAAAGCUGCACACAACAGUUCACCAGUAACACAGCCAGGAUGUAGACACAGAUCCUCUGACUCUCUGUUCUUAAGAUCAGUUUCGAGAGGUGGAAGAAACCUAAGAGUUCAUCUGGUCAAAUCCCCUCACUUUACAGAAAUAACUCUUAACAAGCACUGUCUGGAAAUCUUCAGAGUGGGAAGAAAAAGAAAACAGCAAGUUAAUUGAAUUGGUGACACUUCAGAUGUCUCACAGAGGAGAAUAAGUUUCCAUUCAACAGAAGAUCAUCUGAUUUAAGCAGCACUGACAGUGUUGGUGGAUUUUAAACCUAAGAUAAAACUGAAAUAAGAGUAACAGAGUGAUAGUUUAGAAACAAAUUUAAAAUGUGCCAAAGCCCCAAACUGCCAAUAACAUGAUAGUUUUCUAAUAGUGAAAAUGUUUGUUUUGAGAUGCACAGCCAAGUUGCCAACGAUCCCUCUUCUAGAGUCCUUAUCAGUUCUGUAGGUGGCUAUGUACCAGCAUCCUCAGAAGCACAGUUUGUGGCCUCACCCCCAGCUGACCUCUGAGGAUGACUGAGCCUACCUAAGAAGAGCUGUCUGAGGGGACAGUCAGCUGGGGUGGGAGUGCAGCAAGACAGUCACGGUAGAUAGGGAUGCCAAUAAAAGGGAGUUCAUCUUGUUCCUAGCUGAUCUGUAGGAAGUAUGGCCCACCGUAGAGCUCCCAUGGGAAUACAAUGGAGUAUGGUAAAAGAAUUCUUAGGGCAGCUUGACAAGGAAUUUGAGAGAAGAGCAUGUUUGUAAUCAUGGAGGAAAGUGCCUAUUUCUGGUUUAGAUAUUUUAAAGUCAGGAGGCUUACUAGCAUAGGCUAUAUUGGUAGGGUGUUAAAGCACCAAAGCAAAGAAUACGUCUAUUAGAAUCAAUCAUUUCUGAAGCUCCAUGUGAAAGGAUACAGUCGUUGGUGUCAGGUGCAUAAUCUGUAAAGCAGCUCAUGCGGGGCCCAGAGGGAGCCCUACCUAGAAAAAAUAUGCAGCAGAACUGGAGGGAGACUAGCGACAGGACAACUGGACACCUCUCCAAGAAGCUGUUCUGUCCCUGCAGAGACCACCGCAUCAGAAGCCAUCAGGAAAGGACACAGCCAUUCCAAGCCAGGACGAUUUCAGAAAUGCCUUACGCCACGUGGUCCAGCAUAUGGAUUUUUUGUAAGAUGAUCUCUGAUUCUCUAAUCCCUCUUCCCAUUCCCCAACUUCAGAAAAAAUAGACCUAGAAAGAGAGAAGGAAGGAGUGGGAGAACCUGCCCUGUUUCACUCUCUCCCCUCCUGUUUUAAAUGGAGCAAGUCUGUUUUGAUCAUUAAAAGUGACCAGAAAAUUAUAGAAUCUUUCCAAGAUGUCAUCAAAGAAAAUAAGAGAGGUUUAAGAUAGCAUAGAGACAAUAAUUAGAAGAAAUGAAACAUCUAGGGUCAGUAAUGAUCUGCCUUAUAAACACUCCUGAACUGAUAAUAAUCCUGUUCUCAGAAGAGUUCAUCAAGGUUGAAAUGCUAGACAUAACUGAAGACUACUUGUUAAACCAAGACCUAAAAACCUUCCUUGUUGACUAGUCUCAAUGUUUGGCCCUCUACUCAUUAAAGAAUCAUUGUAUUGCUAUUAAAUAUCUAGGAAUUCCUGUUUAAAUAAAAUUUUAAAAUAUUUAACAAAUA